rnacentral:rRNA from 1 species
CUGUGUGUUGUUGGGUAGGGGAGCGUUCUGUAAGCCUGCGAAGGUGGCCUGUGAGGGUUGCUGGAGGUAUCAGAAGUGCGAAUGCUGACAUAAGUAACGAUAAAGCGGGUGAAAAGCCCGCUCGCCGGAAGACCAAGGGUUCCUGUCCAACGUUAAUCGGGGCAGGGUGAGUCGACCCCUAAGGCGAGGCCGAAAGGCGUAGUCGAUGGGAAACGGGUUAAUAUUCCCGUACUUGGUGUUACUGCGAAGGGGGGACGGAGAAGGCUAUGUUGGCCGGGCGACGGUUGUCCCGGUUUAAGCGUGUAGGUGUGUGUUCCAGGUAAAUCCGGUUCACUUUAACACUGAGGCGUGACGACGAGGCACUACGGUGCUGAAGCAACAAAUGCCCUGCUUCCAGGAAAAGCCUCUAAGCAUCAGGUAACAUCAAAUCGUACCCCAAACCGACACAGGUGGUCAGGUAGAGAAUACCAAGGCGCUUGAGAGAACUCGGGUGAAGGAACUAGGCAAAAUGGUGCCGUAACUUCGGGAGAAGGCACGCUGACACGUAGGUGAAGUGAUUUACUCAUGGAGCUGAAGUCAGUCGAAGAUACCAGCUGGCUGCAACUGUUUAUUAAAAACACAGCACUGUGCAAACACGAAAGUGGACGUAUACGGUGUGACGCCUGCCCGGUGCCGGAAGGUUAAUUGAUGGGGUCAGCGCAAGCGAAGCUCCUGAUCGAAGCCCCGGUAAACGGCGGCCGUAACUAUAACGGUCCUAAGGUAGCGAAAUUCCUUGUCGGGUAAGUUCCGACCUGCACGAAUGGCGUAAUGAUGGCCAGGCUGUCUCCACCCGAGACUCAGUGAAAUUGAACUCGCUGUGAAGAUGCAGUGUACCCGCGGCAAGACGGAAAGACCCCGUGAACCUUUACUAUAGCUUGACACUGAACAUUGAGCCUUGAUGUGUAGGAUAGGUGGGAGGCUUUGAAGUGUGGACGCCAGUCUGCAUGGAGCCGACCUUGAAAUACCACCCUUUAAUGUUUGAUGUUCUAACGUGGACCCGUUACCCGGGUUGCGGACAGUGUCUGGUGGGUAGUUUGACUGGGGCGGUCUCCUCCUAAAGAGUAACGGAGGAGCACGAAGGUUGGCUAAUCCUGGUCGGACAUCAGGAGGUUAGUGCAAUGGCAUAAGCCAGCUUGACUGCGAGCGUGACGGCGCGAGCAGGUGCGAAAGCAGGUCAUAGUGAUCCGGUGGUUCUGAAUGGAAGGGCCAUCGCUCAACGGAUAAAAGGUACUCCGGGGAUAACAGGCUGAUACCGCCCAAGAGUUCAUAUCGACGGCGGUGUUUGGCACCUCGAUGUCGGCUCAUCACAUCCUGGGGCUGAAGUAGGUCCCAAGGGUAUGGCUGUUCGCCAUUUAAAGUGGUACGCGAGCUGGGUUUAGAACGUCGUGAGACAGUUCGGUCCCUAUCUGCCGUGGGCGCUGGAGAACUGAGGGGGGCUGCUCCUAGUACGAGAGGACCGGAGUGGACGCAUCACUGGUGUUCGGGUUGUCAUGCCAAUGGCACUGCCCGGUAGCUAAAUGCGGAAGAGAUAAGUGCUGAAAGCAUCUAAGCACGAAACUUGCCCCGAGAUGAGUUCUCCCUGAGACUUAGAGUCUCCUGAAGGAACGUUGAAGACGACGACGUUGAUAG